UACGGGGGGGGCAAGCGUUGUUCGGAAUUACUGGGCGUAAAGGGCGCGUAGGCGGCCUUCUAAGUCAGACGUGAAAUCCCCCGGCUUAACCUGGGAACUGCGUCUGAUACUGGGAGGCUUGAGUAUGGGAGAGGGAUGUAGAAUUCCAGGUGUAGCGGUGAAAUGCGUAGAUAUCUGGAGGAAUACCGGUGGCGAAGGCGGCAUCCUGGACCGGCAUUGACGCUGAUGAGCGAAAGCUAGGGGAGCAACGGG
rnacentral:rRNA from 1 species